AUGCUAACUUCAGCAGCGUCUAUACUAAAAUUAGAAUAAUACAGAAAUUAGCAUGGCCUCUGUGCAAGGAUGACAUGCAAAUUGUAAACAUUUUUUGGUUUGUA
rnacentral:snRNA from 1 species